UCCUUAUCUUUAUCCCCUUUCCUCUCCCUUAUUUCUACCUAGGUAAAAGCUAUAUUGACACUUCCCUUCUGUCCAGCAAUCACAAGGCACAGCUCACCAUGCUCUUCAUAGCAACCCCAUCGUCCCAGAGGUGACACAGUGUGCCAUCUCAUAUGCCAUUUUUAUGAUAAAAUCAUGGAACAAAAAGCUGUGCAGUGUCUAGGAAAGACUUUCGAUCACUGAGUCACCUGGCUCCAGCCCGCUGGCAAUGACCUCUCCCUCUGCUGGUACUGCCUGUGGACAGUCAUACCCCUCCCCGGAUUGUGUGUGGAGACUGUCUGGACUUGUCCUCACCUUGUCAUGCAGGUGACUCAAAUAUGAAUCCCAGGACCCUGGACCCUCCAGCUCUCCCCCACAGUAUGGCCAAGGGAUUUCCAGAACUGUUGGAAGAUGAAUUAUGUUGCAGGAGUAUCUAGGAGUCUAUGGCUGGUCACCUUUUCUGUUGUUGCAGUGAUGUCAUGUAUGUGUAGGAGCUGGAGUUGCUUAAAAACGUUAAAGUGAAAUGGUUGCUCUAAUUUGCCAAAUAUGUUCCUUAGCCCUGCUAGUAUUCCAGUACUUGUUUAUAAGGAAAUGAUACAUCACUGAGUACCUCACCAAGCCCUCAAAAUACAAAAGAAUAGCAGCUUGGGCUUUCUGAGCCAGCUGACAGCAGUCUUGUUUCACCUGCAGGAUUUUGAUUUUGUUUUGGUGUUUGCAGUACUGAGGGGUGGAACCUGGGGCCUCAUGCAUGUUAAGCAAGUGCUCAACCAUGAGCUGCACCCCCAGCCUCCAAAUGCAUGUUAAAGAAGGUUUGCCCUGUGCAACAUAUCAGGUGGACAGAGUGGGACUCAGAUGGAACCUGUGUGAAGGAGUCUGAUUUCAAGGACAGAGAACCUUAGCUGGUCCUGUGUGAAGGAGUCUGAUUUCAAGGACAGAGAACCUUAGCUGGUCCUGAUGUCUGUGUGUCCACCUGGCUAAGUACCCUUGACAAACCACUGCCUAUGUGCUUUGACUAUUCUUCCAUUUACAACAUGCCUUCAUUUCUGGCAUCAAGUUUUAUUCCCUUGCAGUUGCUCUAUGUAGUGCCCUUGACCAAACCUGCUCCACCAGCCAGAGAUGACUAAAGCCUGUGUUCAAUAUCCUUUUGACUCAUCUGUUCAUCUAUUUGAAGUGAGCUUUUCAAACUGCUUUCAGCCUUCUCUUCUCCAGACUAAACAUUGACUUUCAACCCUUUGAUCAUGUUCAUUUUUAUUUUGAAUCCUCUCCAGUUUUCUUUAUUAUUCUUACAUCAGAGCAUUUAAAUGGUGCAUGAGACUCUACUCAUAAACUAGACCCUUAAGAUGUCACUGGUCAUGACACAUUUAUGACGGUAACUGGCAAGUUCUAAUCCCUUACUCCAGAUUUCCUAAGGGAAAGAAAGAGACUCUGCCUCAAUUCGCUAAGAAACCCAAAGUUUGAAUUGGUAAGGGAAAGAAUAUACUUGAAUUUUUAAGACAAAAGUUGCUAUUUAAAACAAACUAUUCCAAGCAAAUUCCCAGCAGAACCUUUCAUUGUAGUUUACAGAAAUUCCAGCCAAGAGUCCAUCACACCAAAUCUGAAAAUGUCAGGUCCUUUAUCAACAAAACCCCAACAAUUUAUAAGUAUGGAGAUUCCUCAAAAGAUUAGGCAUGAAAACACCAUAUAACGCAGCUAUGCCACUCUUCAGUAUUUAUCCUAAAGAAUUAAAGUCAUUCUACUACAGUGAUCCAUGCAUACCCACAUUUAUAGAAGCACAAUUCACAAUAGCCACACUAUGGACGGGUCUAGAUGUCCAUCAACAGAUGAUAGAUAAAAAAAUGUGGUACAUAUACAUGGAAGAGUUUUAUGUAGCCAUAAAGAAAAAUGAAAUUAUGUCAUUUGCAGGAAAAUGGAUGGAACUUGAGAUCAUUAUGUUAGGUGAAAUAAGCCAAACUCAGAAGGUCAAGGGUUGUGUAUGUUUUCUCUCAUAUGUAGAAGCUAGAGAUGGAAAAGGAAAAGAAAGAUCUCAUGAAAAUCAAAGGGAGAUUGGCAGAAUAGAGGAAAGGGACCAGUGGAUGGGAGAGAGUGGGAAGUGUUGGGGAGGAAUAGUAAUGAAAUUAUACUGUUUUAUUGUGUGCAUGUGUGAAUAUGUAACAGCAAAUCCCACCAUUGUGCACAACUGUAAUGCACCAAAAAAUGUGGAAAUAAUUAAAAAAUGAAAUAACCUCCAAUCAGGAAAAAAUUAUUCAUAUUAUGAAGCCAUAUGUUAUAUAGUAUAUAUCAUCUUCAAAUGUGGACACAAGUGUAUAUCAUAAAUAUAAAAUUCAUAUUUAAUUAAUUAUUUUUAUUUUUGACCUUGCUGGGGAUCAAGGUCAAAAGGCCAUAUACAUGCUAGGCAAGGGCUCUACCACUGAGCUGCAUCCCCAUGCCCAAUGUACAUAAAAUAUAAAUAUAUAAAAUAUAAAUGUACAUGGUGCCACCUAUGUUGUUCAUGCCCUAGAUACACUGUCGGAAUGAAUAGUCUAGACACCUCUUCAGUCCCCUAGAUAUCUGGGAUCAUAGCCUGGUUCGAAUCCCAGCCCCACACUCACUAGCUAGACGCUUGGGUAGUGCUACUUGACUCCCCUUGCACCUUGGUUUCCUCAUCUGUAAACAGGGAAUAAUGAUAAUAAUGAUGCUUAUCUCUAGGAGUUUCUGAGCAUUAAACACACUAAGAAAAAAAUUUAAAACACACUCAGGACAGGUCCUUCCCACAGCAAGUGCUUGCUCUUAUUAUUACCAUUAUGUCAUUUUAGUAAUCAUGCUCUGAACAUUGGCAAGGAUGCUGAUUUAGAUCUGAAAAUCAAGUCCAU